rnacentral:rRNA from 1 species
UGGGGAAUAUUGGACAAUGGGCGCAAGCCUGAUCCAGCCAUGCCGCGUGAGUGACGAAGGCCUUAGGGUUGUAAAGCUCUUUUGGCGGGGAAGAUAAUGACGGUACCCGCAGAAUAAGCUCCGGCUAACUUCGUGCCAGCAGCCGCGGUAAUACGAAGGGAGCUAGCGUUGUUCGGAAUCACUGGGCGUAAAGCGCACGUAGGUGGGCAGUUAAGUCAGGGGUGAAAGCCCGAGGCUCAACCUCGGAAUUGCCUCUGAUACUGGCUGUCUAGAGUUCGAGAGAGGUGAGUGGAAUUCCUAGUGUAGAGGUGAAAUUCGUAGAUAUCAAGAGGAACACCUGAGGCGAAGGCGAGUUGCUAGGCUGACACUGACGCUGAGGUACGAAAGCUAGGGGAGCGAACGGGAUUAGAUACCCACGUAGUCCCUGAGCGGGCUGGCAAGGCGCAU